UGCCCAGCAACUUCUACCCCUACCUCGUCGUGGCACCGGCUGGGUUGCGUGAAAGGGAGGUAGGGUGACUAUCCCCGGUGGGAACUUUGGUCGUAGACUGACAGGGAAGU
rnacentral:ribozyme from 1 species